GCGGCUCGGAGGAACUAAUUACAGAGACCGGCAAAGGGAGGCGGCAGGAGCAUAUUAAUUACAGCAUUUAAUCCAUUAGGCAGAGCCGCCAGCUUAACCUCUUUGGAAUUCUUAGAGUUUGUCUAUGAUUAAUUAUUUUUGGAAAUAACAGCCAGCAUCAUAGCUUGUUAAUAGGCUUAAAAUAAUAAAUUUCAAAAACACCGUGAGACGUUUGCACGGGAUUUAGCUUCCAGAAGGCCAACAGUAAUUUCACGAGACACAUCGGCCUCGCUCCCCUGACUCGCUUCCUCUGCACGAGGCCACGGCUGUCCGCACGCGGGAGCCAGAGACGCCGCCACAUCAGCAGCUCCUGGCCCUCCCCCACCGGGGACAGAGGAGUGGGGGUCCUGAAAGAUGCAGGCUUGCACAUUAGCAGGCCCUUCGAGGUGACAGCCCAGGCCAGAGACGGGCUUCCCAAAGCAGCCACCGUGAUCCAUUCUGGUUACCCGUUAAAUAUUACGUCUUCACAAGGAGCCGGUCCACGGUCCGCGUGCGUGGGAGGGACGUAGCAGGUGUUGCACAGAGUUCGGAAAUGCACCCGGGCCGUUGUCAUCUAAGAAGGGAGCUGUGUGAGGUUGCACUGGGAUUCAGCAGGGGUUCGGGCUGAGGGGCUGGCUGUCAGCGUCGCUGAUGUCUGGACUCUGACGCUCCUGAGCCCGAGAGCCACUGCCGGGAGGAGGUGCUGGUGCCCCCAACGGGAUCUCCAUCCUGGCCACCAUGCUGACGGGGCACCUCCCGGUGCUGGGCCGCGCCCGGCAGGAGGGAGGUUACACUUCAGCCGGGCCCGCUGGGGCUCCCAGUCCGGCAGGGAGCAGCCCUGCACGAUUCGCCGAUGGCAGGUGGGCGCAGUGCUGUCCGGGGCACGAGGAGCACGGAAGCUGAGCGCAGGGGCCAGGCUGGGGCAGGUGCACUGGGGAAGGCUUUCUGGAGGUGACACCAGCUGGAGGUUUGAGGGCAAGCAAGAGCUGGCCAGGACCACCGUGGAGAGGGCAGUGGGGCUCCCGAGAGACGCGGCGAGUGCUGGGCUUGGGCAGUGAUGGAGAGAGACGUGCUGGUGAGGGCGCAGAGGCCGGGCCGGGGGGCAUCCUCGCAGCAGGCCAGCACCUGAUGCUGGAGCCCGAGGGGCUGUAGGCUGGGAGCCGCACGGUCUGGACGGCGCCCUGUGCUUUUUGGGGCCCUGGAAACAGGCAGGGAGAGCUACGGGGUGUUUCCAGAGGGGAGCCUGGGCACCAACUUCCGCCCUCAGGCGGGACCACCCCCCAGCCAGACGCCCUCACCGCUGCAGACCCUCCAGGCGCUGUCCUUCUCAGGGCCCUGCGGGCAGGCGGUUGGCAGCCAGUGGCGCAGCCCAGGGACGUGGUUACCAGCACUCCGUGUUCAAACAUAACCAACUAACGCCCUUUCCCGACACCGUCUCCACCCACCGCUCGCGAAUUCCCAAGCCGAUGGAUGUCGGGGCGCAGACAAAGUCACGGCACCUCUCAGACGAGACGCAUACGGGCAGUUCCGUGCCCCCACAGCACACGCAGCGAUUGGCACGUUUCCAUCACCAGCAGCAGCCGACACGGCGGUCCUCAAACCUGCCUUGUGUCGGGCAGACGCAAAGUGUCUUGUGUGUAAAUUCAUUUCUAUUAAUUACUGUAAGUUAAGUAUUUAUAUACUUAAGUAUGAUUAUGCAUGAGCUGUAGCAAAUCACAUCUGUGCUCUCUUGCUCACCGUUGUCGAAUUUUGCAACACGUGCACAUAAAUCAGCAUCAUCUGACCUCAUUCUCCUCCUGCCUGGAGACUCACUCCCUUAAACGACCUCAAGGGCCCACAGAACCCCCCUGGACGAGCACAGACCCAAGCCUGUCACCCGAGGACAGGCAGGACUAAAACGUCAUGUCACAAAGGGCUGUUAGCACGGGUCAUCUGUGACACCCUCUCCCCACAGCGCAUCCUUGGUCCACCCAUGUCUGUCCCCUUACCGUUUUCCAGACCCUCAGAUCCACUUCUCCCAGCCAUUUCCCCCCGUCCCCCACCCCUACCCCAUGCCCAGCAUCACCAAGGCCACCCGGGCCCCUGUGUGACGCUCACACGCACGCACCCUCACGCCUGCACACGCACCCUACAGCUCACACUUACUGGCACACACAUCCUGGCAUGUGUUUGCACACACACAUGAAUCCAGGGUCCACAGCCUCAGCCGCAUGCCCGCUCUGGGGUCCAGCAGCCGGAUCGCUCUCCAGAAAGUGCCACAGGAAGCAGAUGUCAUCCUGACCUGGCAAGCACUUUGGGGUGUCACCCGCAGCCGAAUCAACAGCUUCCUGGCCACGUGGUCCGGCCACCGUCACAGCGCAAGCACAGCUUUGUCGCGAGCUUUACAAAAUGAACACUUCCCCUACCAUCAAAUGGCUCACCCACGUCCAAUUAGUAAUCGGGGUCUUGUCUUCCAGGAUCUAUACGUUGAGAUGCUCUCACCAGAGGUGUUUAACCACCUAUUUGCGCUGCUCAGAGACAGACCUGCCGGUGUAACUCGGCACCAAGUUCCAUGGCCUCGGGGACGUGUUGCCUGGCGAAUCUAAUAAACUCGAACUGUUCUUUACAAUGAGGAUGACCUCUUAGCAAUAAAUGGCAAAGCAACUGCUGAUGUUCUCAAAGAAGCAGAGGCUAAACGCAA